UCCUACGGGAGGCAGCAGUGGGGAAUAUUGCACAAUGGGGGGAACCCUGAUGCAGCGACGCCGCGUGGGUGAAGGAGUAUUUCGGUAUGUAAAGCCCUAUCAGCAGGGAAGAACAAUGACGGUACCUGACUAAGAAGCACCGGCUAAAUACGUGCCAGCAGCCGCGGUAAUACGUAGGGGGCAAGCGUUAUCCGGAUUUACUGGGUGUAAAGGGAGCGUAGACGGAAAGGCAAGUCAGAAGUGAAAACCUAAGGCUCAACCAUGGGACUGCUUUUGAAACUGUCAAACUAGAGUACGGGAGAGGG
rnacentral:rRNA from 1 species